rnacentral:rRNA from 1 species
CAGGCCUAACACAUGCAAGUCGAACGGUGGCAGCAAUGUCAUAGUGGCGCACGGGUGCGUAACACGUAACUAACCUACCCAUCAUUGGGGGAUAGCCCGCCGAAAGGCGGAUUAAUACCGCAUAAGACUAUAGAACGGCAUCGUUUAGUAGUUAAAGAUUUAUUGAUGAUGGAUGGGGUUGCGGGUCAUUAGCUAGUUGGGUGGGUAACGGCUGCCCAAGGCGACGAUGACUAGGGGAGCUGAGAGGCUGGUCCCCCACACGGGCACUGAGAUACGGGCCCGACUCCUACGGGAGGCAGCAGUAGGGAAUAUUGGGCAAUGGGCGAGAGCCUGACCCAGCCAUGCCGCGUGCAGGAAGAAGGCUUUCUGAGUCGUAAACUGCUUUUGACAGGGAAGAAUAAGCUGGUCGUGACCAGUGAUGACGGUACCUGCAGAAUAAGCACCGGCUAACUCCGUGCCAGCAGCCGCGGUAAU